GAUGAACGCUAGCUACAGGCUUAACACAUGCAAGUCGAGGGGAAACGACAUCGAAAGCUUGCUUUUGAUGGGCGUCGACCGGCGCACGGGUGAGUAACGCGUAUCCAACCUGCCCAUCACUUGGGAAUAACCUUGCGAAAGUAAGACUAAUACCCAAUGACAUCCCACGAAGACAUCUGAAUGGGAUUAAAGAUUUAUCGGUGAUGGAUGGGGAUGCGUCUGAUUAGCUUGUUGGCGGGGUAACGGCCCACCAAGGCAACGAUCAGUAGGGGUUCUGAGAGGAAGGUCCCCCACAUUGGAACUGAGACACGGUCCAAACUCCUACGGGAGGCAGCAGUGAGGAAUAUUGGUCACUGGGCGAGAGCCUGAACCAGCCAAGUAGCGUGCAGGAUGACGGCCCUAUGGGUUGUAAACUGCUUUUAUAAGGGAAUAAAGUGGGUCUCGUGAGACUUUUUGCAUGUACCUUAUGAAUAAGGACCGGCUAAUUCCGUG
rnacentral:rRNA from 1 species